GCCUCUAUCAGAUUCACUACCACCUCCUACACUAUAAAAUUUAUUAAGGCAAGAUGGUGAAAUUUUUGAUGCAAUCCAAAUGCAAGGAUAAUAGAAGUGGAUCUCUCUUUCAAUCUUUUCUUUGAAAAUCGUUGUCAGAUGAACAUUAGUUAAACAUAGGCACAGGCAAAGUAAAGGUGGCUUUAUGUAGUCCCUUAAAGGUAGGUUAUUACAUCUUGGGUCGGCUUGUAGCCAAUCUGUUCAUCCUUGUAAGCCCAGGCCAUCCUGCUUUAAGUGUUUAACUUCUGCCACCAAGUAAGACACCU
rnacentral:lncRNA from 1 species